rnacentral:rRNA from 1 species
AACGUAGGAGGCAAGCGUUAUCCGGAUUUACUGGGCGUAAAGCGUGUGCAGGCGGUUAGGUAAGUUGGAUGUGAAAGCUCCUGGCUCAACUAGGAGAGGUCGUUCAAUACUACCUGACUUGAGAGUGGUAGAGGGAGGUGGAAUUCCGGGUGUAGUGGUGAAAUGCGUAGAUAUCCGGAGGAACACCAGUGGCGAAAGCGGCCUCCUGGACCAUUUCUGACGCUCAGACACGAAAGCUAGGGGAGCAAACGGG